rnacentral:lncRNA from 1 species
GUGGAGAAGGAGGCAUCUCCACAUCAGUUUUAUACCGUACACCAAGUGUAGAACAUUAUUUAUGGGAUUGGUGCUGAUUGAAAAAUAAAAAAAAAAAACAUACAAACAAACCUACAACUGCCUUAUGCCCUUAGGUGCUGAGUUUCAUUAAGUACUGUCACCUUUCUCAUGCAAAAGUCUUUGAUGAUUAUAUGCCAGGAAAAAAAACAACAAAAAAAAAAAAACAAAAAAAAAGAACAAAAGAAAAACCAACCAUCCAACUGAAAUGCAAACCUUAAAAUUAAAAAAAUAAUAAUUAACAACAACAACAAAAAGAUAGAAGUGUAUGAAAAAAUAUAUCCUGUUGUUCAUAUUGGAUUUAGUAGAAAAAACCCUCCAAAUGUCUAAAGAUAAGAAAGAAAAGAUAAGAAAGCAAAGCCAAGACAACCCCAAUGGAGUUUGAUUUUUCCAACAGCUGAAAGACAAAAUCAGGUCUGUAAGAUAAUUUGUCAAGGAAUUUAUAACACCAUUGGGCCAAGCCUUGACCGAGUCGUGUUAUAAAUGUGACCCCACCCUGGAACCAUUUUCCUCGUGGAAAUGGACCCUGUACAAAGGUGGGAUUGUACCAGAUCAGUGUGAAAAUAUAGGAUCUGAUCUUGUUCCCAACAACUGCUUGUGCUAAAGCCCCACUGUCUCCAGUGGAGCAAACACCAACAGUCUGAGCCCAGAAUAAGGCCUGCCACCUUGAUUUCUGGAAAAUGCAAAAUUAUCAAAAUUAUAAACAAAAAACAUGAUCUGAAAGUACAUUUCCACAUAUCUAAUAAUUAUUUCAGUAAUAAUAAAACUCAGCAUGGUAGCAAAAAGCGAGUCAAUUUAAAGGCACAAUACUUGAUCAGUGACUGGCAAAAUAAUUUGACCUACUGUAUCAUUUUAAGGCUGUGAAAGGCAUACAUGUAUUAUUUGUAAUCUCGUGUAAGACCUGUCAUGUCUCAUUCAGUGCGAGCCUUAAAGUGAUUGUAAAGCAUCCUUUGUUCCAUUUUGGGGAUUUUUGGGUUUUGAUUUUUUGUUUUGUUUCUGUUUUGUUUUUAAGGAAAACAAAACAUGAAAAGUCGGGAUUAAAAAAAAACACAAAAACACAAAAAACAAACAACAACAAAACAACCAACAAAACUUCUUCAAACGGUAAUAACCUGUAAAACUGACUCACGUCUCGAGAUGAUUUGGUGCUUUGUAUUUCUGUUGAUGUUGUUGUUGUGAUUUAGCUGAGAAAAUUCUUCGACUCGGUUACAUGUGGGGAACUGCUGAUAAAAACUGUCUCGUGUCACCCUCUACUGUAAGUACAUGGCGAGAAACAACAACCAGAGGAAACCCAAGAGCGUAGCGAGAGCGCCGUGGUUUAGCUUAGCCUUCCACCGCCAGGAGAUGCUGCCACCUCCAAUGCUGGCAAAGCCCAGACGGUCCCGCCGAGGGCUGUGGGGUUGUCUUGACAUUUCCAAAUAACCCACUCGGUGUCUGAACAUUCUCAUCUCUCUCGGAUUCUGUUUCUGUGCUGGAAUAUCUUGGGGUUUUUUUCGAGUUAAAUCACCAGGUUUGCGUCUAUCUGACACCCUUUUUCCGUUUCGAGAGUAUUGCUCCUUUAAAGGAAUAUUCCCGUUUCAGGGCAUCUUUUCAAUCCCACCAUCCCUCUACUUGGGAGGGGAAAAACAACAACAACAAAUGAGAUAUUUUUAAGUGAAUGCUGUAGUAUUUUCUGUGUGUAAUUGCAAUUUUUUAUUCCAGAAAUACUGUAACUGUCUAGGGUGCAAAACUCCCAUGCUGACCUAUUCUGAAGAGAAGAUCAGCAUGGAGGGAUAUUUUUUAAUUAUGAUUAUUAUUUUUUUUUUAAUUUCAAGAAUCAGUUGGUUUUUUUAAUUAUGAUAGUAUUUAAAGAAACUAGUACCAAUUUUAUAUAACAGUUUAAAGAAGCUGAAUGCUUUCUUCGCCUGAAUAUACCUGAAGAGAAACAUUUUUUUCAAUCAGUGAUCCUUUGCAGUGUUCUGAGAAAAUGUUGGGGUUUCUUCAGUUGUUUCAUUUUGUUUUGUAAAGGAAACUUUCAACUGGUGUCUGUUCCUUUCAAGGAGGGCAGGACUCCUUCACGCCAAACUAUAGACACAUGGCAAAGUUUAUACAAAGCCAAAUUGUCAGUGGUACUGUAAUUCCCAGUCAAACUCCAUUUCAGGCAGAUGUUUCUGGGCUCUGAUUACAACCAAUGUGAUGGUCACAUUUUCAUGCAAAGGGAGGGGUUUGGUCUUGUCAUCCUCUGUCUAACUCACCAGUCCCUUGUUUGCUGUGCACAUAAAUACAUAUAUAUAUAUAUAUGUAUAUAUACAUGAACUGAUAUAUAUUUGUGAAAAGCUUUCAUUUUCCUUCUCCAUUUUCUGUGCCCCACAGCCAGUCCCUUCUCAAGUGUUCUACUAACAUUUCACCCUGUUUUUCCCCUGAUCAGUGUGCUGUCUCCAUAAAAAGAGGUAAUUUGUGAAGUGAACGCGCUGUCCCCACCUGCUGAGUCUUGAGAACACAGAGAUGCCCAUCCUCCAGCUGCAGGCCUGCAUUUCUCCUUCCAGAACUUUCUUUUGACUUGCCUUUAAUGUUAGUGUAGACUUAUCUUGAUCUAAUUCCCCAUGUAAAGGCUCCCCUUGGUCCUUGCAUGAAGAGCUGUCCUCACAUCUGCAUUUCCGUGGCAAAAGCAUGAGAAAGGAAUGGAUGACAAACAGCCCUGCUGUUCCUCAGGGACCAUUUUUCCAGGAGGUGGCAUUCUUGUUUUCAAAAGCACCCUAAGAAGGUCCUGCUCCCCAGACUCGUCAACCUUGAGGUCUGGAAAUGUGGUGCUGAUCACUGACACCAUUGAACAGCUGGACCCUUCCCACCAGGACAGUGACAAUGAGCCAAGGCACAGUCACCAGGUGCCAGGAGGAGGAGACCCUUCAGUGUUGCCUCUCAUGAGCAACUCCAGCCUGCCUUCCCUCAGGAACGGGAUCUUACUCCACACCACCACACCAACAGCCGUCGCCUCCACUCUGUGCCAGGAGUGGAGGGGCAAAACACUCUGGAAGUGUCCUUACUUCUCAAUGCAGUGCUAACUUCUCACAACCAAACCAGCUUAACCAAGGGCUUGACAAAUCCCUGUUCCAAAGUCCUCCUCCUUCGUGGCUCGUAGUGUGGAUAACAACAAAGGCAGGUGCCUCCACUGCGAGUUAAGACUGUUUCAUUACUUGCAUAAACUUUCUGCCUCUGCUUCUCCUUUCUUUGAAUGAUAUUCAUCAGCAUCUUCAUUUAGCAAAGGAUUUCCAGGGAGAGCCUGUGUCAUCCCUGAAGAACUGUUUCUUUUUCCAGGACUUCAUUACAGCCUUAACAUAAAGCACGUGCUCUGCCACUACUCCGAACAUGUUCCUGGUGGACAGUUUGGGGUGGUGACCGUUUCCUUUUGGGAUUACCUGUGAUCUUGUUGCCAAACAGCGCCUUUUGCCAAGCCAAAAGCUCAGGGUGGAAAACUGCCCCAGCCCUUUAUUGGUACUAAUCCCAGUGCUAAGAAUCUCAUCCUCUCCUCCUGUUUUAUUUUUUUGCCCUUUGAUUUUUUGGUGCGUACUUUUGCAGGAUGGUCACCAACUUGUUUUGGUUUCACUUUGAUUUUAACUCCUCAGCUUUUCCCUAGUACCUGUUUUAUACCAUUUCCCACCUUCUGGCCAGAAGAUACUGCAUGAGGAACUUUUCAAACUGCCAUGGAGAAUGUUGAACCUGUAUCUAUUCACAUCACAAGGUCAGUGGGCAAGUUCUCUGGCAUAAUUGUGGUGCUGGAUUCACCCUGGGAUCAUCUAAACCAGCCAACUGUGCCAUGCCAGGGCAAUGCUGAGGCACGAGGGCUCCACCAUCCUGACUGUUAUUAUUCAAACCUUCCCUGGCAUGGUUUUGAUCCACUCCAAGGAGCCCUGGGCUCAGGCACAGCUUGCCCAGGCUUUGGCACUGGCCAGAGACCAUCCCCAGUCGGCAGUUUGGAUGCAGCUGCUCCAUAUCAGGGGUGGAAGAUUUUCAGAAUCAGGAUGGGGCCAGCACUACUCAGUUGGCUUCGUGCCAGAAUGGAUCCUGGAGUUGUUUAAUUUUCUGAUAAAGAUGUAACUCUGUGCCACAGACCAGGAUGCAGGAUGUGGUGGACUACGUCAGCUCCGAUCUGGCAUUUUUCUGUUUUCUGCCUGAUUCAAUGGACAAGUUAUUUUUCAGUUCACUUUGUUCCUUCUGCUGAGGCUGUUUUGCAAACUGCAUCACUUUUAUGGCUCGGAUGUCAACUCAUCCAUCCCUCCAUCCAUGUCAGAUGGAUGGCAUGUUUACUGUGAUAGUGUUACACAUCCAUAGGCAGCUAAUUCAGAGACAGGAAUCAUUCAGACCAGACCAAAUCAACAGUGGAAACACAGGAAUUACAAGGUCCCUGCCCAUGCCCUUGUCAUGCUUUGCCACCCACACGAAGCAUUUUUCAUCUGCAGCAAAUCCAACCUGAACUGUAGAAGAGGAGCCAAUGGUGAAUAAUUACCAGACUAAAGUGCAAGUGAGACACCCAUUUCAAGUGUAAAUAUAUAUAUUUUCAUUGUUUGGGAUUGGAGCUACUUCUCUGCUUCACCCCAUCCUUUUGUGCACCUGCCAAAAGUCAGCAGUCAUUUGCAUGUAUUUUUAUUUAAAGCUGACUAGCUGAAAUGGCAAAAUUAAUUCCAAGCUUUAGUGAAUUGUCUGCUAAAAUCUGGCUCAUGCGAGGAGCAUCACUAUUGACUUUCAGAGUGCAAUCACCCUGUGCUCUUCAGAUAUAUUUUUGUACCCACAAGAUUCACUUCACAAUUUAUCCCACCCCUGGCCCUGCAUGUCACACCUGUCACCUGCACACCUGCAGCAUGACUAAACCUCCUGAAGAAAAUGUGGUCUGAGGUUAGUCCAGCAUGAUUUCAUUGAAGCUCAGAGGUGCUUUGAAAAGGAAAACUUACUACUGUGCAUUUGCAAAACCUUUUAGUGCCUGCUUGCUGGGCAGCUUGGGCAGGAGACAAUUUGGAAGCUGCCGGAGUCAGUGGAAAUUUGUGGAGACAGGCUUUCCUAGGAUUUUUCCUUCUUUUACUGGGUUUGCUUUUCUCUGGGUUCUGCUCAGAUCGAAUGUGGUCCUGCAAAAGAAAACCCACCAGAAAACAAAAACCCAAAUGACCAUGACAAAAUAAGGUCUAUGCCAAUCCCCACAGAAGCUGAGGUGGCUGGUGUAGGACGGUAGGGAUGAUGUGAACUCCGUUGUGGACCCUUUGCUUGUUGAAGCUUGCAUGCUGUUCUUUUGGCAGUUGUCUCAAGCCCUGGGGGCUUUGGGAAUGGUGCUUUCCCAGGGUUAUGAUUGCUGGUUUUAUUUUUCCUUGGAGCUCAGGUGUAUUCUGGUGCAGAGAAUCUCAGCCUGGUUUGAACGAGAAGAUUUGAGGCUAUCCCAAAUAGACGUGGGCAAACCUUUCACUGUGUGCAGAACACAUUUCCAGACCUUUGGGUACCACUAGAGAUUGUUGCAAUCCACUUAAUUCUCCAUGAGCAUGUCCGGAAUCGCUUCAUUGUUCUGUUGUGUUUGAACUUGGGAAUAAUGGUGUAGUGACUCUUUCCUGUCGAGGUGUGAUGUGAAAAAAGGGAGGAGCUUUCCUGCUGUGCUGGGUACUGCCUGUGUUCAACCUUUGCUCCUUAUUUGAAGCUCAGACAGUGGGAUAAUGAGAAAAAUGGGAAAAUGAGAUGUCAGAUCGCUGCAUAUGUUCCAUUGGCUCUCUGCUGAUGAGGAGGGAGGCAACUGGUGACUAUUAAAAUAAAUCUGCAUAAACCAUCUGGACCUCAAUGUACAUUCAGACAUGCACAAAACCCAAUUGGAAAGUGAUGUUGUUGAUAAAAUAAUGUGGAUACCUUUUCCUGUCGUAUAUUAAAAACCUAAAAACAAAACAAAACCACAACCAAGCCCUGCAAACGGAAAAAAAUUAUGUGAGAGCAGAAACCUUCCUGUGCCCUCCCCAUUCCUUUGGGACACAUGCAGCAAGGAAACUGUUUGAAAGCCAGGCACUUUGUAAUCCGCGGAGUUAAUUGGAUUUGUGCAAUGCUGUGUUUGUCAGAUGGUCUCUUACAGAGAGCGUAGAAAGUGGCCAUGGUCUAAAAGUCAUUGCAGAUUUUUGGGUGACAGUACUCCUGGGUUUCGACCCCAGCUCUGCCACGAAGUUGCUGUGUAACCUUGGGCAAGUGAUUUAACCUUUCUGUGCCUACAGUUUACCCAUCUGUACAUGGGUAUAAUAAUAUUUACCUACCUCACAGGGGUGUUGUGAGGCUUAAGUUAAUGCGUGUGAGAGGUGCUGGAAGUGCGCCGUGAAAAUUUCAUUCCUGAUGGGUUUGUGCUGUUGUAGGGGAUGAGCACUGAAGGGGUGGGUUACAACAUGCAGAAGGAAAACCUGCUGGUGCAUGUCUUGAGAAAGUGAUUUGAAGUCUUUUCUCUCCCCAAAAGCAAGGAACGGAGAAAAUUGUUGUGCACCAACUGAACAGCCUUGCUUUCCUGGUCAAAUGUAACAGCACUAUUUGCAAUAUUAUUUUCUUACACAACAGGUGACCUUUCCCUUUUCCUUGCUGUUUCUGAAAACUUGAAACUAAAGAUGAAAAAAGUAUUUCUGAACCUAACAGAUUACUGAUGAAUACUUGAAUUUCUUUAAAAGUUGCUCUCAUCAGCCACGGUUAAAUGUGCAGUAAUCUUUCAGUCAUCAGCUUCCAUCUGAAUACAGUGAAAAAUUUGCUCACGCUGUUUUGGAAUAGCCUGGACCUUAUUUGGGAGGCUGGUAUUGCUGAGGACUCUUGUAGGCAUGGGAAAACUAGUGUCUCAACUGAUAAAUGUGAAAAAAUAUUUUUUUUUCUUUCUGUUUUUGCCUUUUAAGUUCGUUGACUGCCUAAGACAGCACAAUAAUUGCAGUUUACUUGGUUGUACAGUAGCUUUUUUGUUUUGUUUUGUUUUUGAAUUUUUUCCUUACACAAAGGGCGAAGGUGGGAUGUGAAAGGAUAAAAUAGACCCAACGCUGCUCCCAUGCAACUCUUCCCGAAGUCCCUGCUUUCCUGGAGAAAAAACCUGUGCCACACCUAGAGAGACCAGACCAAGCUGCCUUCAAAGUCCUCCUGCAGGCAAAACUUCCCUUGCCACCUGUGGGAGUUUUGGCUGAUGGUUCUGUGUCCAUCGAGGUAGAUUCAUCCCUGGUUGAGCCUCAAGCCACGUGGGUGAAAGCCAGGAUAACUUUCUUUAGAACAAGGGAAGGGAUCCAGUUCAUCGCUCCAAAUGUCACCACUGGUCAGAUGAUUCAGAAGGGAAAAACAUGUGACAGAAAGCCUGGGGUUUAGGGGUUUUUUGUCUUUUUACUGUCUAAGUGUCCUGACCAUUGUAUGAUGUCUCUUGUGGGAAUGCAAUGCCAGGCAGGACUCCCUGCUCCCUUUUGGAGAAGCUUUGUGAAGUCUGCUCACGCACUCCUUACUCAGGCAAAACCCCUGGGUUUUAUUGCUGGAUCUCCUUUUCUGUCCUGAGUAAGGACUGUGGAGUCUGGUCUGUUUGGAAUCACUGGGAGGUGUUUCAGGUGGCCAUUGUCUUCUGUAGCCUAAAACUUGCCUUGCACGAAGCAAGAAGGAAGCUCUGGCUUGGUCUGCCACAUACCUUCCCUGUCCCUUCCCUGUACCCACCAUGGGGAGGGAGCUCAAAAUCAUCUGGCUACAGGGGCCAGGCUCUUCCACCUGAAUUUCCAGGCAGCUGCACAUCUUCCUGCUGGGGCAGAGUAAGUUUAGAAGCCCCACUCCUACAGAUGGGCCAUCGCUCAUCCGCAUCGGCUUUGGGUCUGCUUCUUCCCCAUCCUUCUCCCCAGCUGUUUCUUUGCCCUGUUUUAAGUACUCAGCUUGGUGCAUCUGGGUUCUUUUUACUUCUUCUGUUCAAAAAAAAAAAAAAAAAAAAAAAAAAA